rnacentral:rRNA from 1 species
GACAGAGGGGGCAAGCGUUGCUCGGAAUCACUGGGCGUAAAGGGCGCGUAGGCGGGAUGGCAAGUCGGUCGUGAAAUCCUUCGGCUCAACCGAAGAACGUCGGCCGAUACUGCCGUUCUUGAGGGAUGCAGAGGAGAUUGGAAUUCCCGGUGUAGCGGUGAAAUGCGCAGAUAUCGGGAGGAACACCGGUGGCGAAGGCGGUUCUCUGGGCCUGACCUGACGCUGAGGAGCGAAAGCGUGGGGAGCGAACAGG